GCCCCAUUCGUCUAGCGGUCAGGACGUGGCCCUCUCAAGGCCAAAACAGGGGUUCGAUUCCCCUAUGGGGCA
rnacentral:tRNA from 4 species